ensembl:misc_RNA Metazoa_SRP Metazoan signal recognition particle RNA
GCCAGGUGUGGUGGUGUGCACCUGUGGUCCUAGCCAUUGAGGAGGCUGAGAUGGGAGGAUUGCUUGAGCCCAGGAGUUCUCGGCUGCAGUGAGUUGUGAUCCCACCACUGCACUCCAGCCUGGGUGACAGAGUAAGAUCUUGACUCUG